rnacentral:lncRNA from 1 species
CUGAAGCCUGAGGAGUUCAAGGUCAUAUGACAGGGCUGUUACCUCAAGAAGAAGGUCCCAUCUGUUUCCUGGAAUGUGUCUACACUGCUGCUCUCGUCAACUGGCUGCAAAUACGCUCGUGGAAAACAACCUGAUGUAAUUUCUGCCCAGUCAGCUUCAUCUCUCAGUAUAGUUGUAAAUCACCCCAGAUUCUACAGCCGCACCUGAAGACAUGCUCUCACACAUAGAUGUACACAAACACACCCUCAUACCCAUUUCAGCUGGCAUCUGUCAUGAUUCCUGUCAAGAGGGCUUUCGUUGUCUGACUCAUAAUUGUUUAGGAUAAACGAUCAAGAGAAAGGAUUAACUAGACAGUGAUGGGUUUUCAGCACUUGCUGUUGUGGAAAUCUCCUUUAAAGUCUUGAGUACAUGCUAAUCAAUAAUCCUCACUCAUGCAUUUCUACUGCUUGGAGUAGCUGUACUGGUAAAUACUACUGUAGGAGUAUAUGCUUGUUAAAAUGGAAAAAAAAAUGUGUCUUUAGAACUCAGUAUUCUUUAUUUUAUGAACACAACACGUGUAGUAACUUUUUCCCAGCAUAUAGUAGGCACAUUCAAGGUGAUUCAAGAUGGCUCUUUUUUCUGUGGAGGGAGCCUGUUCUCAGUAAAGAUGAGCAAACAUUUGGAAUUUACAUGUGGGCAGACACUGGAUUACAGCUUUCAUCACCAAUCAUUGGACUUUUGCAAAGUCGAGACCAGCUAAGGCUGCUUAAAACAAGUUCUGAUCAUUAUAUAAGAAGGAAAAUGCCUGACAGACACCAUGCUUCCUCUGUCCACUGGAGUCUGCUUUGCAGCAGGUCAGAUGUGCCCAGGAAAUAACGCUCUGCAGGAGCACAGGGACAGGCUUCCAACAAUCACCGGAGCAGCCGAUCCUCAGGUGGGAUAAUUUUGAUGUUGGUGCUGUACACUGCUACACCAAAUCCCGCAGUAGUAAUUUCAUGGAGCACACUUUAAAUUUCUUCCCUUCUCUGUCUCACUUCUUCACUCCAUUAUUGAUUCCUCCUAUAAUCACCUCCAGUAUAAACUACUUUGAUUCUAAUCUUUGUCUCAGAAGAUGCUUCUGGGAAAUCCAUAUUAAGGAAAAAGUAGAUUUCACAACUUCUGUUUGAUUGUGAUAUUUGCUCUUGAUGGUAAAUGUAAAAUAAUCUUUCUAUGAAUGUAGAUUUUGAAAUUGUGUUGAGGUUUAAAGUGCAAUCAUUUUAUGUGUAUAGUUCAACAGGUUUAUAUAUAACUGUAACCGCCACCAUUGCAAUCAAGAUAAAGAACAUCUCCAUCACCCUAAAAAAUUCCUUCAGACCUAUUUGCAGUAAAUUCUCCACCAAGCUCAGUCUACCCUCAAUAUAGAUUUGGUUUUCCUCUAGAAUUUCACAUAGAAGAAAUCUUUUUUUUUUUUUUUUGUCUGGCUUCCUUUGCUCUGCAUUGUAUUUUUGAGAUUUAUUUUUUACUGUGCUCUAUGAAUCAGUAGUUUUUAAUUGCCAAGUAAUAAUCCCAUUGCAAAGAAGCACUACAUUUUGUUUAUCGCUUCACACUUGGGUUGGUUCCAGUUUUUGGCUAUUAUAAAAAAAAGUGCUUUGAACACUUGUGCACAAGCCUUCAUGUGGACCUGUUUUCACUGCUGUUGGUAAAUACCUGAGUGGAAUUGCUAGGUUGGAUGAUAAAGUUACGACUACCUUUAAGAAAAAAAUCAAACAUGUUACAAAAGUAGCUUUAUAUAUUUUACACAUCCACCAAAAGUCUGUGAGAAUUAAAGUUAGAAUACUCAACACUAAGUAUUGUCAGUCUUAAUCUUAGCAACUCUAGUGGGUAUGUAAUAGUAUCU